ensembl:rRNA n-R5s32 nuclear encoded rRNA 5S 32
GUCUUUGGCCAUACUACCCUGAAAGUGCCUGGUCUUAUAUGAUCUUGGAAGCUAAGUGGGGUUGGUCCUGGUUCGAUUGGAGGGUACCUAGCAUUUGAUGAUU